GACAGAGGAUGCAAGCGUUAUCCGGAAUUACUGGGCGUAAAGGGCUCGUAGGUGGCCAACUAAGUCAGACGUGAAAUCCCUCAGCUUAACUGGGGAACUGCGUCUGAUACUGGAUGGCUUGAGUUUGGGAGAGGGAUGCGGAAUUCCAGGUGUAGCGGUGAAAUGCGUAGAUAUCUGGAGGAACACCGGUGGCGAAGGCGGCAUCCUGGACCAACACUGACACUGAGGAGCGAAAGCCAGGGGAGCAAACGGG
rnacentral:rRNA from 1 species